rnacentral:misc_RNA from 1 species
CCGAGUUUACAACUCCCAAACCCCUGUGAACAUACCUAUCGUUGCUUCGGCGGAUCCGCCCCGGCGCCCUCGGGCCCGGAUCAGGCGCCCGCCGGAGACCCCAAACUCUUGUAUUUCUUUAGUAUCUUCUGAGUAAACAAGCAAAUAAAUUAAAACUUUCAACAACGGAUCUCUUGGUUCUGGCAUCGAUGAAGAACGCAGCGAAAUGCGAUAAGUAAUGUGAAUUGCAGAAUUCCGUGAAUCAUCGAAUCUUUGAACGCACAUUGCGCCCGCCAGUAUUCUGGCGGGCAUGCCUGUUCGAGCGUCAUUUCAACCCUCAAGCCCCCGGGCUUGGUGUUGGGGCUCGGCCCGUCCCUCGCGGCGCGCCGUCCCCGAAAUCCAGUGGCGGUCACGCUGUACUCCUCUGCGUAGUAAUCCAACCUCGCAACGGGACAAAGCCUGGCCACGCCGUUAAACCCCCCACUUCUGAAGGUUGACCUCGGAUCAGGUAGGAAUACCCGCUGAACUUAAGCAUAUCAAUAAGCGGAGGAAUCGAUGCCUUGGUCAUUUAGAGGAAGUAAAAGUCGUAACAAGGUUUCCGUAGGUGAACCUGCGGAAGGAUCAUUCGUAAUAAGUGUUUUAUGGCACUUUUUAAAUCCAUAUCCACCUUGUGUGCAAUGUCGGUCGAUCUUCUUUUUUUGAGGAUCGACCAAACAUCAACCUUUAUUUUUUAACUCUUUGUCUGAAAAAUAUUAUGAAUAAACAAUUCAAAAUA